UACGUAGGUGGCGAGCGUUAUCCGGAAUCAUUGGGCGUAAAGAGGGAGCAGGCGGCAGUGCAGGUCUGCGGUGAAAGCCCGAAGCUAAACUUCGGUAAGCCGUGGAUACCGCACAGCUAGAGAGCAUCAGAGGAUCGCGGAAUUCCAUGUGUAGCGGUGAAAUGCGUAGAUAUAUGGAGGAACACCAGUGGCGAAGGCGGCGGUCUGGGGUGCAGCUGACGCUCAGUCCCGAAAGCGUGGGGAGCAAAUAGG
rnacentral:rRNA from 1 species